rnacentral:rRNA from 1 species
CCUACGGGUCGCACCAGUGGGGAAUAUUGGACAAUGGGCGAAAGCCUGAUCCAGCAAUGCCGCGUGUGUGAAGAAGGUCUUCGGAUUGUAAAGCACUUUCGACGGGGACGAUGAUGACAGUACCCGUAGAAGAAGCCCCGGCUAACUUCGUGCCAGCAGCCGCGGUAAUGCGACGGGGACUAGCGUUGCUCGGAAUGACUGGGCGUAAAGGGCGCGUAGGCGGUUUAUGCAGUCAGAUGUGAAAUCCCCGGGCUUAACCUGGGAACUGCAUUUGAGACGCAUAGACUAGAGGUCGAGAGAGGGUUGUGGAAUUCCCAGUGUAGAGGUGAAAUUCGUAGAUAUGGGGAAGAACACCGGUGGCGAAGGCGGCAUCCUGGCUCGAUACUGACGCUGAGGCGCGAAAGCGUGGGGAGCAAACAGGAUUAGAUACCCCCGUAGUC